rnacentral:lncRNA from 1 species
GUGGAGGGGGGCUUCCGCGUCGCUCGAUAGAUAAACGCUCGAUCGGUUGUGGACCCACUAGUUCCGCUCGCUCCAUCCGCCACACCACACCGCACCGUCCGAAAAUGAGGGUCCUUAGUUUAGUGUCCAGUUUAGCGUUUAUCCUCGUCGUCGGCGCCGAGCACGAGGGCGGCAACAAGACGAAGCGAAGCCACUACGGGGAUCUCGGCGGCGAGGGCCUCGACUUCGGCCACGGCCACGAGACCAUCACCGUCAACAAGGAGACCGCCCACGUGGAAACAGUCCCGAUCCCCGUCGACCGCCCGUACCCCGUCCACGUGCCGGUCGAGAAGCUCGUCCACGUGCCGGUCAAGGUGCCCGUCCAUGUGCCGUACCCCGUUGAGAAACCGGUGCCGUACCCGGUCGAGGUGCCCGUCAAGGAGCCCUACGCUGUUCCUGUUCCGGUUGAGAAGCCGGUCUACGUCCCGGUCAAGACCCACGAGCACGAGCACGAGCACGAGCACGAACAUGAUCAUGGAUAUGGGGAUUUGGCAGAUGGGAAGAUGGCAGAGACGAAAGUGUUCGACCCAAUAGUAGAUCAUCAUAAUAAUAAGACAACUUCAGUAUGGCGUUUUAAAGUGCUCUGCAAGUGCGUGGCAAGUGCUAAACUGCUCGAAUAUCUCCAAGAGAAGGGCCACGAAACCAAGGAGCAACUCGAGAAGUUCAAAAAAAGGUUGGAACAGGAUGACGGCCGCGCAAUAGCGUGGUUAAACGAGCACCAUAAGCUCAGAGUUGAGCCCGCAACGAAUCUGUUCAAAGAACAGAAGUAUACAGACGAAUUUAAAGCACUAAGACCAAAGAUACCCAAAAAAGGACCAACAUAUACGCUGAAGGAGGAGCACCACCAAAUGUAUGGCAUUAAAGAAGUUAAAGGAGAUAGUGAUUGGGGAUUCGGCAAACGGCCACCCGUUUCCAAGAAAUA